rnacentral:lncRNA from 1 species
GGUUGCAUUACUGCCUGGCAACCUGAGUCUGGGCUCCACUCCGGAGGGGCGGCACAGAUUGAAAUAGCUGAGGCAAGUUUACUUUUCCCUGUCCAGGUGCUCUCCUGCCGCCAACACAGCCCUAAUGAGCUCUGCAUAUUCAAAACACAAGUAAUUGAUAGUCCAAUUUAAAGUGUGCAGAGGCCAAAUUUCUUUCCAGACGCUGAAGGAAAAACACCAGCUGAGGAAGAAUGAAGAACUGCCUGUUCUAAGUUAUUCUCCUUCUGUGGUCAUUCGAGCACCAGGAAGACCAGGUUUGCCCCAUCAAGUACCUCAAGAAAGAAGUCAAUUACCUAAAGAAGUCAAGCAAAGAGGAAAGGACAAAAUGAAAAUCAUGUACCAGGGUACACGUCGAGGCUCCAAGCUGGAAUGAAUAUGGCCUUCAACAUACUCUUUAUCAUACAGAAGCUUGUGUUCAGGGCUUGGAUUUUGAAGUCAGACAGACCUGGAUUAAAAACCAAUUCAACUACCUAUUACAUAUGUGACCUAGCAUGUCCCAAAUAUGGGCUGUUCCUUCAACCUGGGUCUUGGAAUGAAGAAGAUAUAUGGAGUAGAGCCAUGAACACACUGUUGCUGCCUCUGACAACAACACAAGAGAGAAAUGAACCUUUGAAAAAUAACAUAUCUGAGUUCAAUGUUGAGCAUGCUGAGUUGAGGUGCAUAGGGGAUAAAUUCAGUAGGAUAUAUUAGUUUGAAUUUUAGGAAAGAGAGCUAGAUGAGAGUUACAUAUUGUUGUUCAUCUGGCCACAGAUGGUACUUGAAGCUUCGAGAUUCAUUGAAAUCCCAGGGAGAAUAGCAGCAUAAAAGAGGGAGGGAAUAAACAUUGACUCAACAACAUUAAAGUGAUGGUAGAGGAAGAGAAGUGUGGGGGAGGUUGGGAAGGACGGGCAGGGGAAAUGGAAGCCACAUUAGCUAUAAAGAAAAGUGAGUUAUCUUCAGCUUCAGCACUGGAAUUGCUCUUGAGAAAGAAAUGCCUUUGUUCUUGUCUUUCAGUAAUAUCACUUCAUGUGAGCUUGAAAACAGCCUUGUGAGGUGUAGUUAGAGGAGAAUAGACACAUUCGUCUCCAAGGUAGAAGUGAGGAAACUAAGACUCAAAGGAAUAAACACCUUGCCCAAGUUUUUUUAAAAAUUUAAUUUGAAAUUGUGGUGAACAAAACCCACAUAAUAUAAAAUUUACCAUCUUACCCACUUCUAAGUAUAUGGUUCAGUAGUGUAUAAUAUAUUCACAUUGUUGUGCAACCAAUCUCCAGAACUUCUACAUCUUGCAAAAUUGAAAAUCAGUACCAAUUAAACAUUAACUCCCCAUUCUCCUCACCCCACAUCCCUGGGAAACCACCAUUCUACUUUCUGUCUCUAUGGAUUUGUCCACUCCAGGUACCUCAUAUAAGUGGAAUCCUAUAAUAUUUGUCCUUUUGUGUGUGGCUUAUUUCACUUAGCGUAGUGUGCUCAAGGUUCAUUCAUGCUGUAGGAUGUGUCAGAAUUUCUUUCCUUUUUAAGGCUGAAUAAUACUCCUUUGUGUAUACAGACCUCAUUUUGUUUGUUCAUUCAUUGUCAAUGGACACUCCAGCUGCUUCCACCUCUUGGCCCCUGUGAAUCAUGCCUCAGAGCAUGGGUGUGAGGCAUUGUCUUUUUGAGGCAAAGAGGACAGAAGGGGGACCCUGAGAGCAUGUUGUAAAGACAAUAAAAAAGAUUUCAUUACUGCCCUGUAUGAGGAAAUGAGGGGAGUUUUGCUCCUGAAGGAGUCAGGGAAAGAAGAAUGGAGAGGGGCCAAAAAGGAGAGGUGGUGAGAGAUGAUCCAGGGAGGUGGGGAAGGGUAGGGAUUAUCUGGGGUGAAGGGGCCAGUGAAAAUUGUCUAUUGUUUUGUGGUCAAAGAACAGAGGUAUUUUGUGUUCAAUAUAAAGUGGUUAAAGUGCA